rnacentral:lncRNA from 1 species
CCAGUCAGUGACAAUGAACUGAAUGGAAGCCCACGAGCUGAAGGGACCUGAGCCAUGUGCUGGGUUCUGUGCUGUGCACUCUUCACACAUACUCACUGUGUUCAUGCAAGAAGACUGAAGAUGGAGUUUUCACCCCUGUUUGACAGAGAAGGAAACUGCCAACCUAAUGAAAGUUAACUUGCCAGGUUCAAGCACUGCAUGAGCCGUAAAGCUGGGUUGUGCAGCCAGGAGCUAUGUUCCCCAACAACACUUUUUAUUAGACUGUUUACAAUCAACUGCACAAAGACUUUAGUCAUAACAACAGAGAUCCUGAAGACUGGGAGAUAUUAAACUGGAUAAGAAAAAUCACAGCUGUGCUAAAUGCUGACAAGGAGAGACCCAACUAACUACCUUUAUUUGUGCUCUUCUCACAACCUGUGUGUUUCCACAUUUUGAUUGCCCAAGCCUGCCACUUUGCUGUUUCUCUUGUGUUUUCUAAGGGAGCCAUGAGAACCACGAUUGCAGCUGGGGAAACUUCCUGGCGAUGACAGUGGGAGCCAAGAUGAAGGAAAAGUGGGAUUGAGCCAGGUGAAGAGACAGUGUGACCUUUGACAUCACCGUUGUGCUACACUCCUUUAGAAACAGCUGAGAGGCUGUGUUUUCAUCUGGAAAGGGAAGCAAUUAUUUACUAUUGGAGAAUGUAAAUCAAUACAGCUAUCCAUUAGUGGGCAUAAAUUUUCCAGAUCUUGCAAGGAAGACAGUUUGCCAAGACU